rnacentral:lncRNA from 1 species
CACUGAGAAUUUCCCGAAGAAUGAUUUGAUUUGUAUUUGUUAUCAGCAAAUUUGGUGUUCAAAACCCUAAAUGUUUAUUGAUUUUACCAGGAAAAACAAAAACAAAGAAAUAGCCAAAAGAAAUUACAAAAAAAAAGUAAGAUUAAACGAGAAGACAAAAAAAAAAGGGAGAGAAUGAUUUGAAAAUAAAGAAAGAGAUUUGCGGUGAAAGGUAUAAAAAAUACUUGACCAAAUAUAUGAACAAAGACAAAUAUCAAUUACAACAUCAAGAAAAAUAUGUUUAUAAAAACACACUUUUGCUACAACAAUUUCAUCUGCGUCCUUACAAUAAUUAGCCGUUAUGGUUCCAUGUUUCGUAAAAGUUUUAAAAAUUAUAUAUUAUUGUGAUCAUAUAGUUCGGAAAUAAAUGUUACACAAUUGCACAAUGAUGUAACUUGUAGAAGAACAUUACUUGAUAAUGAUUUACUGUGAUCCUCUAAACUUUUCCCCAUCGAUUAGCUUCUUCAUUAUAUUAAAAAGAAUAAAAGUGAUAUCACCGAUAUUAUCUUUCACCUUCACAUGUAUCUUGAAUCUUAUCAAGCCAUUCCCUCUGAAGCUGCGACCAUUGCUGAGAUUCUGAGAAUAAAGAAAGCAAAAGAGAAGAAGAAACCUCCACUUCCAACCGAGAGGUUGUGAGUUCGAGUCUUCCCAAGAGCAAGGUGGGAAGUUC